rnacentral:rRNA from 1 species
UACGUAGGGUGCAAGCGUUGUCCGGAAUUAUUGGGCGUAAAGAGCUCGUAGGCGGUUUGUCGCGUCUGCUGUGAAAAUCCAGGGCUUAACCCCGGGUCUGCAUUCGAUACGGGCUGGCUAGAGUGUGGUAGGGGAGAUCGGAAUUCCUGGUGUAGCGGUGAAAUGCGCAGAUAUCAGGAGGAACACCGGUGGCGAAGGCGGAUCUCUGGGCCAUUACUGACGCUGAGGAGCGAAAGCGUGGGGAGCGAACAGG